GAACGCGAAGAACCUUACCUGGUCUUGACAUGUACGGAAUCCUCCAGAGACGGAGGAGUGCCUUCGGGAACCGUAACACAGGUGCUGCAUGGCUGUCGUCAGCUCGUGUCGUGAGAUGUUGGGUUAAGUCCCGCAACGAGCGCAACCCUUGUCAUUAGUUGCCAUCAUUUAGUUGGGCACUCUAAUGAGACUGCCGGUGACAAGCCGGAGGAAGGUGGGGAUGACGUCAAGUCCUCAUGGCCCUUAUGACCAGGGCUUCACACGUCAUACAAUGGUCGGUACAGAGGGUAGCCAAGCCGCGAGGUGGAGCCAAUCUCACAAAACCGAUCGUAGUCCGGAUUGCACUCUGCAACUCGAGUGCAUGAAGUCGGAAUCGCUAGUAAUCGCAGGUCAGCAUACUGCGGUGAAUACGUUCCCGGGUCUUGUACACACC
rnacentral:rRNA from 1 species